rnacentral:rRNA from 1 species
GGGGGGGGGGGGGGGCGGGCGUGAGAGGGGCGAGUCGGGCGGACAGGCCCCUUUGGGGGUGCUCGAGUGGCGAACGGGUGAGUAACACGGUAGGAACCUGCCCUGGGCUGCUGGCUACCUUCAGGAAACUGGUGCUGAUACCGGAUCGGCAUCCUUGCUGCCGCGUGGGGAUUGGACCACUUCGGCCGUUGUGGAUGUAACCGCGGCUUAUCAGCUUGUUGGUGGGGGAGUGGCUUACCAAGGCGCUUACGGGUAGACGUCCUCAGAGGGCGCAGGGCCACAGUGGGACUGAGAUACGGCCCAGACUCCUACGGGAGGCAGCAGUGGGGAAUAUUGCACAAUGGGUGGAAGCCUGAUGCAGCAACGCCGCGUGCGGGAUGACGGCCUUCGGGUUGUAAACCGCUUUCAGCAGGGGCGAAGCUUGUGGUGACGGUACCUGCAGAAGAAGCACCGGCUAACUACGUG